GCAGCUGUAGCUCAGUUGGUUUAGAGCGCUGGUCUGUGGAACCAGAGGUCGGUGGUUCAAAUCCACCCAGCUGUACCA
rnacentral:tRNA from 1 species